CCUGCCCCUAGAGGUGUUAUAAAUGUGGCUGCUGUGUCACCUGUGUAUCAUUAGGUGGCAGAGAGAAGGGAGGCUUAUCUACAUCCAGUGAUCUGCGAGAAACGAGUGAUUGAUAAUCUGACACU
ensembl:snoRNA